rnacentral:lncRNA from 1 species
UAGAUGAGCAGGUUUUCUCCAGGAAGCUGGAGAGGGAAGAGAAGGCAGACGAGGUUAAGUAGCACAUUCUGUAGAGGAGCAGCUGUGUGGAUGGGCUGGGUCUGUCCCUCCAGAUCUACUCUUCACCCUUCCCCACCUCCUCUGUGCACCAGCAGGCUGACCUCUGUGGAUUGCACCAUCCCAGGGGAGCUGACUGAGUUUGACCAAGGAGAGACACUAGCUGGAGUAGAGACUGGGAGGAGAGAGAAAUCUGUUAAAGGAGCACCCAGUAUACAACUUGACACAGAGCAUGUGUGAGGACCAACCAGUGACAGAAGCCCAGCCUCCGAGCUCAGGUCCAAGCUCCCCUCACUUGUCCCGCCGGGGUACUGAACUGCGACCCGGCCAAGUCCACGGAGGCGAAGGAGGGCGGCAGCUCCAGCUCCAGGGGCUCUCUCUGUCCAUGCCAGUGCCUGCCUGGCAACAUGUGUCUUGUUCCACACCUGUGGCUCAGAGGAGAGCCCAGUGUCCUCUGUCCAGCAGAACCGCCCGUCGCUUUCCCUUGCUCCAGAACUUGGAGCAAAAUCUCUCUCCGUGUCCAAGAUGUGUGAGAUGUCUGAACUCUGAGAUGGUCUUUCAUUUCCACCAGAUUUCACAAAACGGGUGUCAAUAUCUUUGAAGAAGUGAUCUUCAGUAGGAAUUGGUGAGGUGGCAAGGUAAGCAGGAAGCUUUUCAUAUUCCUCUUCAGUCUCCUCCACAAAGAAAG